rnacentral:sRNA from 1 species
GCUGGGCCUGGUGGCGCAUGCCUGUAAUCCCAGUUGCUCAGGAGGCUGAGGCAGGAGGAUGCCCGUUCAAAGCUAGUCUCAU